rnacentral:rRNA from 1 species
GACGAACGCUGGCGGCGCGCUUAACACAUGCAAGUCGAACGGAAAGGCCUGCUUUCCCUUGUGGAUUGCGGGUACUCGAGUGGCGAACGGGUGAGUAACACGUGAGUGAUCUGCCCCCAACUUGGGUAUAAGCCUGGGAAACUGGGUCUAAUUCCCGAUAGGACUGCAGGGUGGUGCCUGUGGUGGACAACGAUUUUCUAGUGGUUGGGGAUGAGCUCGCGGCCUAUCAGCUUGUUGGUGGGGUAAUGGCCUACCAAGGCGGCGACGGGUAGCCGGCCUGAGAGGGUGGACGGCCACAUUGGGACUGGGAUACGGCCCAGACUGCUACGGGAGGCAGCAGUGGGGAAUAUUGCACAAUGGGCGGAAGCCUGAUGCAGCGACGCCGCGUGGGGGAUGACGGCCUUCGGGUUGUAAACUCCUUUCGACCGCGAGGAAGCCACCUGGUUGGAAGGGUGGUGACGGUAGUGGUAGAAGAAGCACCGGCUAACUACGUG